UUAAGCGACUAAGCGUACACGGUGGAUGCCCUGGCAGUCAGAGGCGAUGAAGGACGUGCUAAUCUGCGAUAAGCGUCGGUGAGGUGAUAUGAACCGUUAUAACCGGCGAUUUCCGAAUGGGGAAACCCAGUGUGUUUCGACACACUAUCAUUAACUGAAUCCAUAGGUUAAUGAGGCGAACCGGGGAACUGAAACAUCUAAGUACCCCGAGGAAAAGAAAUCAACCGAGAUUCCCCCAGUAGCGGCGAGCGAACGGGGAGGAGCCCAGAGCCUGAAUCAGUGUGUGUGUUAGUGGAAGCGUCUGGAAAGGCGCGCGAUACAGGGUGACAGCCCCGUACACAAAAAUGCACAUAUUGUGAGCUCGAUGAGUAGGGCGGGACACGUGGUAUCCUGUCUGAAUAUGGGGGGACCAUCCUCCAAGGCUAAAUACUCCUGACUGACCGAUAGUGAACCAGUACCGUGAGGGAAAGGCGAAAAGAACCCCGGCGAGGGGAGUGAAAAAGAACCUGAAACCGUGUACGUACAAGCAGUGGGAGCCUCUUUAUGGGGUGACUGCGUACCUUUUGUAUAAUGGGUCAGCGACUUAUAUUCUGUAGCAAGGUUAACCGAAUAGGGGAGCCGAAGGGAAACCGAGUCUUAACUGGGCGUUAAGUUGCAGGGUAUAGACCCGAAACCCGGUGAUCUAGCCAUGGGCAGGUUGAAGGUUGGGUAACACUAACUGGAGGACCGAACCGACUAAUGUUGAAAAAUUAGCGGAUGACUUGUGGCUGGGGGUGAAAGGCCAAUCAAACCGGGAGAUAGCUGGUUCUCCCCGAAAGCUAUUUAGGUAGCGCCUCGUGAAUUCAUCUCCGGGGGUAGAGCACUGUUUCGGCAAGGGGGUCAUCCCGACUUACCAACCCGAUGCAAACUGCGAAUACCGGAGAAUGUUAUCACGGGAGACACACGGCGGGUGCUAACGUCCGUCGUGAAGAGGGAAACAACCCAGACCGCCAGCUAAGGUCCCAAAGUCAUGGUUAAGUGGGAAACGAUGUGGGAAGGCCCAGACAGCCAGGAUGUUGGCUUAGAAGCAGCCAUCAUUUAAAGAAAGCGUAAUAGCUCACUGGUCGAGUCGGCCUGCGCGGAAGAUGUAACGGGGCUAAACCAUGCACCGAAGCUGCGGCAGCGACACUAUGUGUUGUUGGGUAGGGGAGCGUUCUGUAAGCCUGUGAAGGUGGCCUGUGAGGGUUGCUGGAGGUAUCAGAAGUGCGAAUGCUGACAUAAGUAACGAUAAAGCGGGUGAAAAGCCCGCUCGCCGGAAGACCAAGGGUUCCUGUCCAACGUUAAUCGGGGCAGGGUGAGUCGACCCCUAAGGCGAGGCCGAAAGGCGUAGUCGAUGGGAAACAGGUUAAUAUUCCUGUACUUGGUGUUACUGCGAAGGGGGACGGAGAAGGCUAUGUUGGCCGGGCGACGGUUGUCCCGGUUUAAGCGUGUAGGCUGGUUUUCCAGGCAAAUCCGGAAAACCAAGGCUGAGGCGUGAUGACGAGGCACUACGGUGCUGAAGCGACAAAUGCCCUGCUUCCAGGAAAAGCCUCUAAGCAUCAGGUAACAUCAAAUCGUACCCCAAACCGACACAGGUGGUCAGGUAGAGAAUACCAAGGCGCUUGAGAGAACUCGGGUGAAGGAACUAGGCAAAAUGGUGCCGUAACUUCGGGAGAAGGCACGCUGAUAUGUAGGUGAAGCGACUUGCUCGUGGAGCUGAAAUCAGUCGAAGAUACCAGCUGGCUGCAACUGUUUAUUAAAAACACAGCACUGUGCAAACACGAAAGUGGACGUAUACGGUGUGACGCCUGCCCGGUGCCGGAAGGUUAAUUGAUGGGGUUAGCGGUAACGCGAAGCUCUUGAUCGAAGCCCCGGUAAACGGCGGCCGUAACUAUAACGGUCCUAAGGUAGCGAAAUUCCUUGUCGGGUAAGUUCCGACCUGCACGAAUGGCGUAAUGAUGGCCAGGCUGUCUCCACCCGAGACUCAGUGAAAUUGAACUCGCUGUGAAGAUGCAGUGUACCCGCGGCAAGACGGAAAGACCCCGUGAACCUUUACUAUAGCUUGACACUGAACAUUGAGCCUUGAUGUGUAGGAUAGGUGGGAGGCUUUGAAGUGUGGACGCCAGUCUGCAUGGAGCCGACCUUGAAAUACCACCCUUUAAUGUUUGAUGUUCUAACGUUGGCCCGUAAUCCGGGUUGCGGACAGUGUCUGGUGGGUAGUUUGACUGGGGCGGUCUCCUCCUAAAGAGUAACGGAGGAGCACGAAGGUUGGCUAAUCCUGGUCGGACAUCAGGAGGUUAGUGCAAUGGCAUAAGCCAGCUUGACUGCGAGCGUGACGGCGCGAGCAGGUGCGAAAGCAGGUCAUAGUGAUCCGGUGGUUCUGAAUGGAAGGGCCAUCGCUCAACGGAUAAAAGGUACUCCGGGGAUAACAGGCUGAUACCGCCCAAGAGUUCAUAUCGACGGCGGUGUUUGGCACCUCGAUGUCGGCUCAUCACAUCCUGGGGCUGAAGUAGGUCCCAAGGGUAUGGCUGUUCGCCAUUUAAAGUGGUACGCGAGCUGGGUUUAGAACGUCGUGAGACAGUUCGGUCCCUAUCUGCCGUGGGCGCUGGAGAACUGAGGGGGCUGCUCCUAGUACGAGAGGACCGGAGUGGACGCAUCACUGGUGUUCGGGUUGUCAUGCCAAUGGCACUGCCCGGUAGCUAAAUGCGGAAGAGAUAAGUGCUGAAAGCAUCUAAGCACGAAACUUGCCCCGAGAUGAGUUCUCCCUGACUCCUUGAGAGUCCUGAAGGAACGUUGAAGACGACGACGUUGAUAGGCCGGGUGUGUAAGCGCAGCGAUGCGUUGAGCUAACCGGUACUAAUGAACCGUGAGGCUUAACCU
rnacentral:rRNA from 1 species